GUCCGGUAACUCACACACAUUUCCGGUGUACCGAGCACUGGUAGAAGGUUACUAAGAGAUCGGGGAUUUCAUGGUGGUUGGUAUGGGCGAAGUCGGCAAAGAAUUUUUCCGGCACCAGGGUUACAAGUUGUGAUUUCGAGAUGCAGAAGCAUUUGCGAGGUAAUCUUCGCUUCAUUACUUGUUCUAAAGCAACUGACACAGAAGUCAGGCUUCAGCACAGGAGAAAUUUUGCGUAAAUACAGCCGAUAUGCUUUAAAUGAAAAGCCGUUCAACCCACAACUGGUUGCAGCAAUGUUUCAACUCAAGAAAGCAACAAUGUUGGAUGUUCUCAAGUUGCUGAAAUUCUGAAUGAUAUUUCAAGGCGGAUCGUUAAAGAUUAUGUAUAAUCCAGUGCAAGUCUUGGUUUCUAUUUCUCCUUAAAAGGUCCGGUCGUCAUGGAUACGUCGAGAUAUUCUGAAAAGGGCUUAAGGAGAAAGCUUGCUGUCCAAGCUCUCUUUGGAAAGAUCUAUUAUCUUUCAGAGAUAAGAUUAAUAAAAGUGAUCUUUUUCUACAUCUGUAUUUUUUAAGUGUUAUUACAUUUUAUUGUUUGAAGAAGUUCAACAUUCUCCUAUGUCCAUACAUGUCAUACAUCAUUUUUUCUAAUUGUACAUACAUCAUUUUUGUUAAACUUAAUUACAUUUUUAAUGUGAAUCA